rnacentral:rRNA from 1 species
AUUGAACGCUGGCGGCAGGCCUAACACAUGCAGGUCGAGCGGCAGCGGGAAAGUAGCUUGCUACUUUUGCCGGCGAGCGGCGGACGGGUGAGUAAUGCCUGGGAAAUUGCCCAGUCGAGGGGGAUAACAGUUGGAAACGACUGCUAAUACCGCAUACGCCCUACGGGGGAAAGCAGGGGACCUUCGGGCCUUGCGCGAUUGGAUAUGCCCAGGUGGGAUUAGCUAGUUGGUGAGGUAAUGGCUCACCAAGGCGACGAUCCCUAGCUGGUCUGAGAGGAUGAGCAGCCACACUGGAACGUAGACACGGUCCAGACUCCUACGGGAGGCAGCAGUGGGGAAUAUUGCACAAUGGGGGAAACCCUGAUGCAGCCAUGCCGCGUGUGUGAAGAAGGCCUUCGGGUUGUAAAGCACUUUCAGCGAGGAGGAAAGGUUGAUGCCUAAUACGUAUCAACUGUGACGUUACUCGCAGAAGAAGCACCGGCUAACUCCGUGCCAGCCGCCGCCGUAA